rnacentral:rRNA from 1 species
UACGGAGGGGGCGAGCGUUGUCCGAAGUUACUGGGCGUAAAGCGCGCGUAGGCGGGUUGGUAAGUCCGCUGUGAAAGCCCGGAGCUUAACUCCGGAGGGUCGGUGGAUACUGCCAGUCUUGAAGGUGCUAGGGGGAGAUGGAAUUACCGGUGUAGCGGUGAAAUGCGUAGAUAUCAGGAGGAACACCAAUUGCGAAGGCAGCUCGCUGGGACGUUACUGACGCUGAGACGCGAAAGCGUGGGGAGCAAACAGG